rnacentral:rRNA from 1 species
ACUAUACGGUGAACUGCGAAUGGCUCAUUAAAUCAGUUAUCGUUUAUUUGAUAGUACCUUACUACAUGGAUAACCGUGGUAAUUCUAGAGCUAAUACAUGCUAAAAACCUCGACUUCGGAAGGGGUGUAUUUAUUAGAUAAAAAACCAAUGCCCUUCGGGGCUCCUUGGUGAAUCAUAAUAACUUAACGAAUCGCAUGGCCUUGCGCCGGCGAUGGUUCAUUCAAAUUUCUGCCCUAUCAACUUUCGAUGGUAGGAUAGUGGCCUACCAUGGUAUCAACGGGUAACGGGGAAUUAGGGUUCGACUCCGGAGAGGGAGCCUGAGAAACGGCUACCACAUCCAAGGAAGGCAGCAGGCGCGCAAAUUACCCAAUCCCGACACGGGGAGGUAGUGACAAUAAAUACUGAUACAGGGCUCUUUUGGGUCUUGUAAUUGGAAUGAGUACAAUUUAAAUCCCUUAACGAGGAACAAUUGGAGGGCAAGUCUGGUGCCAGCAGCCGCGGUAAUUCCAGCUCCAAUAGCGUAUAUUAAAGUUGUUGCAGUUAAAAAGCUCGUAGUUGAACCUUGGGCCUGGCUGGCCGGUCCGCCUCACCGCGUGUACUGGUCCGGCCGGGCCUUUCCUUCUGGGGAACCUCAUGCCCUUCACUGGGCGUGUUGGGGAACCAGGACUUUUACUUUGAAAAAAUUAGAGUGUUCAAAGCAGGCCUUUGCUCGAAUACAUUAGCAUGGAAUAAUAGAAUAGGACGUGUGGUUCUAUUUUGUUGGUUUCUAGGACCGCCGUAAUGAUUAAUAGGGAUAGUCGGGGGCAUCAGUAUUCAAUCGUCAGAGGUGAAAUUCUUGGAUUGAUUGAAGACUAACUACUGCGAAAGCAUUUGCCAAGGAUGUUUUCAUUAAUCAGUGAACGAAAGUUAGGGGAUCGAAGACGAUCAGAUACCGUCGUAGUCUUAACCAUAAACUAUGCCGACUAGGGAUCGGACGGUGUUAGUAUUUUGACCCGUUCGGCACCUUACGAGAAAUCAAAGUUUUUGG